GUCCCCGCUGGUGAGGCCGCCCAGCUCAGGGCCGGCUGGCGGGACCUCCCUGACUGCGGUGGCAAGCGUGGACUCAGAGAGAUGAGAUCAUCAGUUUCCAUGACUUAGCUUUGGAACCAAACCCUUCUGACCACCCAAGGGCAAGCACAAUUUUUCUGAGCAAACCUCAAACAGAUGGACUUUAAUAGUAUCCAAGAGAGAAAAACAUCUAAGACACUUGCCUCAGGAAAACCCUGUACAGUAAAAAGAAAACUGUAUCAUCCAAAAUGAGUUUAUUCGUUUAUUUAUUCAACAAAUACCGAGGGAGGAACCAAGAUGGCGGAGUAGAAGGACUUGCUCUCACUCCCUCUUGUGAGAACACCAGAAUCACGACUAGCUGCUGGACAAUCAUCGACAGGAAGACACUGGAACUCACCAAAAAAGAUACCCCACAUCCAGAGAAAAAGGAGAAGCCACAAAGAGAUGGUACGAGGGGCGCAAUCACAGUAAAAUCAAAUCCCAUAACUGGUGGGUGGGUGACUCACAGACUGGUGAACACUUAUACCACAGAAGUCCACCCACUGGAGUGAAGGUUCUGAGCCCCACGUCAGGCUUCCCAACCUGGGGGUCCGGCAAUGCGAGGACGAAUUCCUAGAGAAUCAGACUUUGAAGCCUAGUGUGAACUGACUGCAGGACUUUGACAGGACUGGUGGAAACAGAGACUCCACUCUUGGAGGGCACACACAAAGUAGUGUGCGCAUAGGGACCCAGGGGAAGGAGUAGUGACCCCAGGGGAGACUGAACCAGACCUAUCGGCUAGUGUUGGAGGGUCUCCUGCAGAGGCGGGCGGUGGUGGCUCUGUUUCACCGUGGGGACAAGGACACUGGCAGCAGAAGUUCUGGGAAGUACUCCUUGGCGUGAGCCCUCCCAGAGUCUAUCAUUAGCCCCACCAAAGAGCCCAGGUAGGCUCCAGUGUUGGGUUGCCUCAGGCCAAACAACCAACAGGGAGGGAACCCAGCCCCACCCAUCAACAGUCAACUGGAUUAAAGUUUUACUGAGCUCUGCCCACUAGAGCAACAGUCAGCUCUACCCACCACAAGUCCCUCCCAUCAAGCCUCUUAGAUAGCCUCAUCCACCAGAGGGCAGACAGCAGAAGCAAGAAGAACUACAAUCCUGCAGCCUGUGGAACAAAAACCGCAUUCACAGAAAGACAGACAAGAUGAAAAGGCAGAAGACUAUAUACCAGAUGAAGGAACAAGAUAAAACCCCAGAAAAACAACUAAAUGAAGUGGAGACAGGCAACCUUCCAGAAAAAGAAUUCAGAAUAAUGAUAGUGAAGAUGAUCCAGGACCCCAGAAAAAGAAUGGAGGCAAAGGUGAAAAAGAUGAAAGAAAUGUUUAACAAAGACCUAGAAGAAUUAAGAACAAACAAACAGAGAUGAACAAUACAAUAAAAAAAGAAAAUUACAGACCAAUAUCACUGAUGAAUAUAGAUGCAAAAAUCCUCAACGAAAUACGAGCUAACAGAAUCCAACAACACAUUAAAAGGAUCAUACACCUUUAUUAAGUGGGAUUUAUCCCAGGGAUGCAAGGAUUCUUCAAUAUACGCUAAUCAAUCAAUGUGAUACACCAUAUUAAAUUGAAGAAUAAAAACCAUAUGAUCAUCUCAAUAGAUGCAGAAAAAGCUUUUGACAAAAUUCAACACCCAUUUAGGAUAAAAACUCUCCAGAAAGUGGGCAUAGAGGGAACCUACCUCAACAUAAUAAAGGCCAUAUAUGACAAACCUACAGCAAACAUCAUUCUCAAUGGUGAAAAACUGAAUGCAUUUCGUCUAAGAUCAGGAAGGAGACAAGGAUGUCCACUCUCACCACUAUUAUUCAACAUAGUUUUGGAAGUCCUAGCCACGACAAUCAGAGAAGAAAAAGAAAUAAAAGCUAUGCAAAUCGGAAAAGAAGAAGGAAAACUGUCACUGUUUGCAGAUCACAUGACACUAUACAUAGAGAAUCCUAAAGAUGCUACCAGAAA